rnacentral:rRNA from 1 species
UACAGAGGUCUCAAGCGUUGUUCGGAUUCAUUGGGCGUAAAGGGUGUGUAGGUGGCGCGCUAAGUCGGGUGUGAAAUUCGGAGCUUAACUCCGAAACUGCAUUCGAUACUGGCGUGCUUGAGGACUGGAGAGGAGACUGGAAUUUACGGUGUAGCAGUGAAAUGCGUAGAUAUCGUAAGGAAGACCAGUGGCGAAGGCGGGUCUCUGGACAGUUCCUGACACUGAGACACGAAGGCCAGGGGAGCAAACGGG